rnacentral:tRNA from 1 species
GCGGACAUGGUGUCAACGGCAGCAUGCGAGCCUUCCACGCUCAGGGUGCGGGUUCGAGUCCCGCUGUCCGCUC